CAAAGACCUGGCUGGGACAUUUUACUGUACAGGUACUGUGUGUCUACUUCUGUUUGUUUUUGCUCUUUUACUUAACAUUGUGUGUUGUGCUAUUUGUUUUUCUACAGUGAGACUGUGUGGCUCCAGUUGUCUUCUGCAAGCCUAUUUGUCUGACAUUGGAUCGUGGAGGACAGUGUGCUCAGAUGGAUGGGCUGAUCACCAUGGGAAGGCAGCCUGACAGCGUUUAGGAUACAGCAGAGACACAUGUUAAAUCUGGCCGACAAAUGCCAGAGGAUUCUUAAUGCUGAAGUCUGGGUCAAGCCCUGACACACCCAUAAUGCAACAGCUUGCGAGCACGUCAGUGAAAUAAUUGUUAAUGGGGUGACCCUGAAGUGCAUAGACUGUGGUACCAGAGUAGUCUCCAAUUUGAGUCGUGCAGUAGGGGCCCAGGAGGCUAGUUUGGGGGCCAUGGCAGGUCAGCCUCCAGGACUUUCACAUCUGCGGCGGUUCCAUCAUCACCCCAUACUGGAUAGUGAUGGCAGCACACUGCAUAGUGGAGUAAGUCCAUAGACAUACAUACUGUACAGUAUGUGCACUAUAUCAUUGAAAUAUACACUACCAGUCAAAAGUUUUAGAACACCCCCAUUUUUCCAGUUUUUAUCGAAACAUAAGCAGUUCAAGUCCAGUGAAUAACCUGAAAUGGUACAAAGGUAAGAAGUAAACUUGAGGUUUAAUUUUUUUAAAGAGUUUAGGUUACCCAAAACAAAAUAGGUUACCAAAAACAAAAAAAAUAAUGUGCAUUUCAGAGUUAUAAGAAAGGGCCUCUUUCAGGGAAAAGGUAAUGGGUUAACAACAUACAGCUGUUCUGGAGCAAUGGAAGUAAAUUAAGCCUUGAAAGUUGAUGCUAACGUUUCCUACAGGUGUUCCAACUUUUGUUGAUUACUUACCAACCCUCUGUCUGGAUAACAGCAGUGUUGGAACAGACUGUGUUACUACACACUCUUCAGCAUUAUUUGGACAGUAUUGUACUGCAGGAAGUAGUAUAUUGCUAUCAUAAUGUUAUUAUAACCCUUAAAAGUGUAGGUCUUUCCUUUAGAGAAAUUGCAAAGAAAGCCAAGGUGUCAGUGAGUACAGUUUCCUACAACAUCAAAAGGCACUUGGAAACUGGAAGAAAUUCUGACAGGAAGAGGUCUGGCAGACCCAAAACCACAACAGAAUCAGAAUACAAGUUUCUGAGAGUCAACAGCUUGUGUGAUAGGCGGCUCACAGGACAACAGCUUCAAGCACCUCUUAACACUGGUCGAAGUAAGCAAGUCUCAGUUUCAACUGUGAAGAGAAGACUUCGAGCUGCAGGUUUGACAGGUCGAGUGGCCGUAAGAAAGCCACUGCUAAGAUGGCAAAAUAAGAAGAGGCUUGCCUGGGCCACGAAGCACUGCCGGUGGACUACUGAAGACUGGAAGAGGGUCUUAUGGAUCGAUGAAUCAACAUUUGACGCUGGGUUUCUGUGUGCCAUUCAGUAGGCGAAAGGAUGGUUCCACAGUGUGUGACACCAUCUGUCAAACAUGGAGGAGGAAGUGUGAUGUCUGGGGCUCAUUUACUGAAUCCAGAGAUGACGACUUGCAAAGAGUGAGUGGCACCAAAACCGCUACCACAGCGCCUUGCAACCCCCUCUGGUGUACGCCUAGUUGGUCAGGGGUUCAUCCUACAGCAAGAUAAUGACCCAGGACAUACCUCUAGGCUAUGGGGUUCAUCCUACAGCAAGAUAAUGACCCAGGACAUACCUCCAGGCUAUGUCAGAACUACCUUAGAAGAAAAGAACAAGACGGUAGGCUUCAAAUCGUGGAAUGUCCAGCACAGUCUCCAGACGUAACCCCCAUUGAGCUGGUUUGGGAUGAACGGGGCAGAAGGGUGAAAGCAAAGCAACCUACAAGUGCAACACAUUUGUUGGGAAGAACUUUCCGAACAAUAUUUGAUUUCCAUUGUAGAAAAAAUGCCACGACUGUGUUCGGCUGUUUAUGUCUGCAAAAAUGUUGGUUCAAUUUUGUUAAACAAAACCAUUCCAUGAUUUAUUUUGUCUCCAAUUGUUUAUUUGCUUUAUGCUUUAAUUUCAGAGUACAUUAAGACAUUAAGUUGUGUGAAUUUCACCCCCAUUUUCAAUUUUUUAUUGUUCUAAAAUGUUUGACCUGUCGUGUAUGUUCAGCACAGUCCACUUCUGAGCGUAUUCUUUUGAAUCUGUGGCAUCCUGGUUAAAUUGACUAGUUCAGUUGUCUUUAAUUUCAGUCACUCUUAUCCUGAAGACAGUACAUGCAGGAUUUGGGAAUCAAAUAUCUACACACUUCAGCCGUGGCCGUUCUUCAGUGAGCCACAUUGUCACCCAUGAUUACAACACAGAGACUUCAGUGAGCCACAUUGUCACCCAUGAUUACAACACAGAGACUUCAGUGAGCCACAUUGUCACCCAUGAUUACAACACAGAGACUUCAGUGAGCCACAUUGUCACCCAUGAUUACAACACAGAGACUUCAGUGAGCCACAUUGUCACCCGUGAUUACAACACAGAGACUUCAGUGAGCCACAUUGUCACCCGUGAUUACAACACAGAGACUUCAGUGAGCCACAUUGUCACCCGUGAUUACAACACAGAGACUUCAGUGAGCCACAUUGUCACCCAUGAUUACAACACAGAGACUUCAGUGAGCCACAUUGUCACCCAUGAUUACAACACAGAGACUUCAGUGAGCCACAUUGUCACCCAUGAUUACAACACAGAGACUUCAGUGAGCCACAUUGUCACCCAUGAUUACAACACAGAGACUGGGAAUAACAACAUCACCCUCAUUAGACUCAUUAAACCAUUGCAGAUGAAUGGUAGGACUUACAUUCUCUUGUUGUUCUCAGCAGACUAUUGCAUCACUUCGUGCAGUUAAUAUUUUUUUCAUGACUAAGCUCAUAGCACAGAAAUUAUUUACUACGCUUUCUUUCCUAUGCAGAUCAAAUAAGGCCUGUGUGUUUGCCCAAUGUCGGGCUGGACUUCACUCCCCAGACAUUCUGGAUUUCGGGGUUUGGCAGCACAGUUUCUAGUGGUAGCCUUCCAGAAGCUUCCCACAAUAAGUUGGGUGAAAUUUGGCCCAUUCCUCCUGACAGAGCUCGUGUAACUGAGUCAGGUUUGUAGGGCUCCUUGCUCACACACACUUUUUCAUUUCUAUAGGUUUGGGGUCAGGGCUUUGUGAUGGCCACUCCAAUACCUUGACUUUGUUGUCCUUAAGCCAUUUUGCCACAACUUUGGAAGUAUGCUUGGGGUCGUUGUCCAUUUGGAAGACCCAUUUGCGACCAAGCUUUAACAUCCUGACUGAUGUCUUGAUGUUACUUCAAUAUAUCCACAUAAUUUUCCUACCUCAUGAUAACAUCUAUUUUGUGAAGUGCACCAGUCCCUCCUGCAGCAAAGCACCCCCACAACAUGAUGCUACCACCCCUGUGCUUCGCGGUUGGGAUGGUGUUCUUCGGCUUGCAAGCCUCUGCCUUCUUCCUCCAAACACAACGAUGAUCAUUUUGGCCAAACGGUUCUAUUUUUGUUUCAUCAGACCAGAGGACAUUUCUCCAAAAAGUACAAUCUUUGUCCCCAUGUGCAGUUGCAAACCGUAGUCUGGCUUUUUUAUAGCAGUUUUGGAAAAGUGGCUUCUUCCUUGCUGAGUGGCCUUUCAGGUUAUGUCGAUAUAGGACUCUUUUUACUGUGGAUAUACUUUUGUGCCUGUUACCUCCAGAAUCUUCCCAAGGUCCUUUGCUGUUAUAGGACUCAGUAUGGUGGCUGGUAGGGGACACAAGCUGGGGAGUUGUCUGUGCCGAGGAACAAACCAGGCAUCUAUGGAAACAACGCCUUCUUCCUCGGCUGGAUCUAUGAAACCAUUAAAUCCAGUGUUGUGAUUUACAUGCAUACACAUUUUAAUAAUAGGAAGUUGUAACUAUGGUGUGUUUGGUUUUGCAGAAAUAAAGAAACUGAGAAAUCACUGGUGGACAAUCAGAAUGAAAUGGUGGAAACAUUAUUUUUUUCUGAAUAGAAAAGCCAGAAAGAUGUUUGUACGUACAGUGUCAUCAGAAAUUCCAAUGUUAUAAACAACAAAUUCAAUAUGUGCUCAUUUGUAUGUAUUCAUUAAAUGACUACUUCUACA